AAGCAAGAAUUACAAUCAAAUAAUAAAAGACUCAACAAAGACUCAAUAUGUGAACUAAUAUUUUUCAAUGAGAUGCUUAGUCUUGAGCUUGGUCUUCGUAUAUAUAGUGAUUUAGGCACGCUCCUCUUUCUUCACAAAUGCUCAGACGCUCCUUGAGAAUCAUAAAGGAUGAUCUGAUUCUCUUUUGAUCUUCAUCAAGAAUGUAUAGAAACUUUCCAAAAGUGUUUAAGGACUUUAUAGGAUAAUUGUGAUCAUACCGUUG
rnacentral:lncRNA from 1 species